ACUGAUUUAGUUGUUACUAUUGUGUUCUUAAGCAUGAUGUCGGACUGCCAAUGACAUAUUCUAUUGUUUUCUACAGCUACCAGUGCCUAAACCUCUAACAAAAUGGAAACUUUUGCCAAAACAAAAGUGAAAAUUAGGUCUCACAAGGAGAAGCGUUAUAUUCCCCUACCGAGAAAUGUGUUCGGUGUGGUGGAUGCUACAGAACAGAAAAAUGUUGGCUUAAGGUUGGAGUCCAGAUGAAAGAAGAACAAGGAAUAUAAUAUUACGGUUGGAGGGAGGCAAUGACAACUACAAAGGGUUAUUUAUCGUAGUGCCGGAAAGAAAUCAUGUCAAUGCACUUAAUACGGAGCAUGAACAUUAAAGCUGGCGUCUCUCAGGAACAAGGUAAUUAACUGCAAAAAUGAGCUUCAUGAUUGAAACCUGACGAAAAGGCUGGUCCGUUCACUACCUUCACCCUCAUCCCUAUCCUCCAUCUCCAUGUGUUUCUCUUGCUCAUCAUCGGUAAUAACUAGUUAGAAAACUCCUCGGUCAUCACUGUAUUUUCAGGCAGGCUUUCCAUGAUCAUUCAACAAACAUGGACUUUUUUUGUUGUUUGGUCAUAUGAUCGAAGACUUGGAAAGAGACUUCAAGAAAAGAUUUGGAUCAGUUGAAUCUAACAAAAGACAAGCAUAAAACCGAGCACAAUGAUGUUUUAAGAUUCAUAAAGUUAAUCUCCCUUAAUGGGAUAAGACUUUAUUGUUGUUGCUGUUGAUGUUGGUCAAAUGAUCAAACCUUAUCAGAAAAUUAAUAAAAAAUGGCUUCAUUGGAUUUUAA